rnacentral:rRNA from 1 species
AUUGAACGUUGGCGGCAGGCCUAACACAUGCAAGUCGAGCGGAUGAAGGGAGCUUGCUCCUGGAUUCAGCGGCGGACGGGUGAGUAAUGCCUAGGAAUCUGCCUGGUAGUGGGGGAUAACGUCCGGAAACGGGCGCUAAUACCGCAUACGUCCUGAGGGAGAAAGUGGGGGAUCUUCGGACCUCACGCUAUCAGAUGAGCCUAGGUCGGACUAGCUAGUUGGUGGGGUAAAGGCCUACCAAGGCGACGAUCCGUAACUGGUCUGAGAGGAUGAUCAGUCACACUGGAACUGAGACACGGUCCAGACUCCUACGGGAGGCAGCAGUGGGGAAUAUUGGACAAUGGGCGAAAGCCUGAUCCAGCCAUGCCGCGUGUGUGAAGAAGGUCUUCGGAUUGUAAAGCACUUUAAGUUGGGAGGAAGGGCAGUAAGUUAGUACCUUGCUGUUUUGACGUUACCAACAGAAUAAGCACCGGCUAACUUCGUG